rnacentral:rRNA from 1 species
AGACUCCGUACGGGAGGCAGCAGUGGGGAAUAUUGCACAAUGGGCGAAAGCCUGAUGCAGCGAACGCCGCGUGAGCGAAGAAGUAUUUCGGUAUGUAAAGCUCUAUCAGCAGGGAAGAUAAUGACGGUACCUGACUAAGAAGCACCGGCUAAAUACGUGC